UGAGGGGUGGAGAUCCAGCAUUCCCAGGGGAGAAUUCCUGAAUUCCUGUGGGAUGGAGGCCCAGCAUUCCCAGGGGAGAAUUCCUGAAUUCCUGUGGGGUGGAGAUCCAGCAUUCCCAGGGGAGAAUUCCUGAAUUCCUGAGGGAUGGAGGCCCAGCAUUCCCAGAAUUCCUGAAUUCCUGAGGGAUGGGGGCCCAGCAUUCCCAGGGGAGAGCAGAAUUCCCCAUGCACAGAGCUGCUCCCUGUUGGGAACACAGCAGUGCCAAAAUGAAGCUGCUGGAAAACCGAGGGAAGGGAGAACAGAGUGGUGGAAAAGCAGCACUGAAAUGUGGGGUGGGAGAAGGGAAAACUCUGCAGGAAAACUCUGCAGGAAUCUGCAGCUCCAGAGGUCAUUUCUGAGAGUAAAUCAGGAUCCCAGCACAGACAGCUGGAACUGCAGGAAUCUUCCCUUGGGAGCUCACAGGGUUUGGUUUUCCUGCAGGAUUUGUGGGAAUCCAACCCAGUGAAUAAUUCAUGGAUCCCUGUGGAACCCAGCCCUGCCCUAAAGCGCACACUCCUGCUUUACUGUGCCCGCUUUGCUUCCAACCUUCUCUCCAGCUGGGCUUGCUCUGGGUGCUUUUGGGUUUGUUCUGGGGUUUGGGUUUGUUUGGGGGUUUUGAGUUUGUACUGGGGGUUUUGGGUUUGCUCUGGGUGCUUUUGGGUUUGUUCUGGGGGUUUGGGUUUGUUCUGGGUAUUUUUGGGUUUGUUUUGCGGUUUUUUACUAACAAAGCUGAUAGAGGAGAUGCUCACCCCCUCCAGCCCCAGCUCCUGCAGCACUCCCAGGCUCCAGCUUUGCCUUGGCUGCUGGUCUCCAUAAAUCUCCAGUUCCUGUGGAAAUCAGGGGGAUCCAUCCAAGGGAUCCAGCAGAGGUAUUGGGCAAAGCCUGGUCCAGGUGUCAGGGAAUCCUGGGAUGAGCUGGUGCUGAAACCAAACCACUUCCUCUGCCUCUUCACAGUUAUUCCAUCAUUGCUUCUCCUGCUUCUCCAACACCAGGAAUCCUUCUCUCCUGCUCUGUGCCCUUAUCACUUUCACACCCUGGAAUUGUGUGAAUUUUCCCCCUUGGUUUUUUUGUAAAAAUUGUGGAGAGAAGGCACUUUAGGCUGGACUAAGCAGAGCCUGGACAUUGGAGCAAUUCCAGAGCAGGAGAAUCCCAGGACCAGGAACCAGGAGUUUUCCAGGCUCUUGGAGAGUAUUUCCAUGGCUGUGACUAAGGGAGCCUGUGGGGCACGUGGAGCUGUGGAGGCUGAAAUUCCAAUAAUAACAAUAAUUAAUAACAAAAAUC
rnacentral:lncRNA from 1 species